CAAUGUGUUGUUGCUACUCAAGCUCCGGAUCAAUGUGCCGGAGACCGAGCAAUGUUGCCCACUGCUUAGUGGGUUGGCUGAUCUAGAUGCCGCAGUCUGUGUUUGCACUGCCAUCAAGGCCAACCUCCUUGGCCUCAUCCCCGUCGACAUUCCCGUCGACCUGACCCUCCUACUCAACCAUUGUAACAAGACAUAUCCCUCUACUUUCACCUGCUCACCAUGAGCCAUGAUCAACUAUACCUCUCCAAAGCAUACUCAUAAUUGCCAUGCAUGUGAGGCAUACCCAUCUAUGCCAGCUCAUUAAUAAAUUUAUGUUUAGAUUCUAUAUUUAGAUUUCGAGUUAUGUUUGUGUGUUUGACAUAAGUGUAUCAUGCAUGUUAUGUAAUCAAAAUUAUCAAGAUGGAGCUUGUCUCAUUGAAGAUAUUCCCUACAACAUAUGAGAUCAUUAUAAAUAAUUCAAAACGUCAUCGCAGUUGAUUGUUUGAACCAUCUAUCUAUAUACGACAUAUUUAUGAAUUUUUACAACUGGUUCUAUAGUCUAUGGAAACAUCUAUGACAUUUGGAUCUUACUAUGAACCAUAUGUUGGCAGUUAUUUAUCAUCGAUGGUUUAAGAGAUUUCUUUGUUCGGUUAGAUGUGUUGAUUAUGUUCAUGUGGGGUCCAAACUCUAUAAACUAGAUGAUGUCCUGCAUGUUGCUACGCGAUUUUGUUGUCGCGAAGAUGAUAACAAUUGAAUUCAGUUAUCUGCCAAAUUUUAAUUACAUUCAGUGACUAUUGUAUUUGUUUUAUAACAUGCAUCACCGACACGAUGAUUUAAACAAUUCAAAAGAAAAACAAAUUGGAAAGCCCAAGAGCUGGAAUAGUUCCUGGCUUCCUGCAUGAAUCGUCCUUCAUGGUCUGCUUUUGAACAUAGUCAAAAUGGCCAUAUAAAAUGAAUAAUAGUCAAGAUCCAAAUCACUCAAUAUAGUAACACUUUGUAAAAGGAAUAAUUCAGAAUAGUGACCAAUUCCAUUGUUGUAGUUUAUAAGGUGUGCAAACUACAAAAAGAUCUCGAGAAUCUUAGUGGUCUUAAUCACAUCAUAUGCGUCAUUGUUUUUUAUUUCCUUUUGAUUAGUACAAAAAUCCACCACUGUUAUCACUGGCCAACCGUACAACGACAUCCCUUGUAAAUCACCCAGAAAGGGUUUCCCCCCGCUUUGUAUUUCAAAGCAACCACCACGAUACAGCCAAAGAUAGGUGCUGGGGCGGAAGCAGCACAGUCACGCCAAAAAGAAACGGAGGAGAAAACAUAAAAGAAACAAAUGCCAAGAACGGCGGAUCAACGAAAAACGAAGAAGCCCCGCGACCGCUGCGCCCACCGGAGAACUCCCGCCAAGCUCCACGACUCCGGAAUGCCGGCACCAAGCAACACCUCCAAGAAGGGAUGCAACGACGACGAUGCUCCUGCGAAGGGUUUCCCCCGGUACGCGGCGAGGUGAUAGGAAGGGUCGCCCCGACGCCUUCCAGGAAGGACUGACGACACCCACAGGCGCCACCACACCGGUGUCGGCCAAACCGACAGGGAUUUCUUCCGAUCCCAACCCACCCCUUAGGGGCUUCGGAGCUCGCCACCAAACCGACCACCACCCUGCGCCAACACGGACUUGAUGCUUCCACGCCGUCUCACCACGACACCACGAAGUAGGGUCUGCACAAUGAUGAGGAGGAGGCGGGACUAGGGUAGCAGCACCGUCGGUACGCGGGAGGGCUCAACAUCCACCGUCAACGAUGGUAACCAAUCGGACGCAAUAGCAGGGGCAAAUCAGACCCGUGAGCAGACAGGUCCGGCCGGGCGCUCAUAUGCCCGUAAAGCCCCCGCCUUCGCGCUGCAGAAUACGUGCCAACGGCGCCGCCGCCCAUCGUCCGAGCCGCUCCACCUCAUCACCGCGUAGAGAGCAGUGAGGCAACGCCAAGACCGGCCCGCUAGGACCUUGAUGGGGCCCAUAGGGCCUAGAUCUGGGCCAGGUUCAUGCCGCCGGCCGACCUGCGCCAUCCCGCCGCCCCGCCGCCAAAGGGCGUCGCCACCACCGCGACAGGUCGCCGCCAGCCGCCACCAGGCCGAUGGGCCGCCGUAGGCCAAGGAACACCGCCACCGGAAACGCCGCACGAAUCGAGAAUCUGCGUCGGGGAUGAGCAGGGGGCCGCCACCGCCAGCCAGACCACGGCGCCGCGGGCAGCGCCCGACCGCGCCGGCCGGUGGCAGCGGCAGGAGGAGGAGGUACNNNNNNNNNNNNNNNNNNNNNNNNNNNNNNNNNNNNNNNNNNNNNNNNNNNNNNNNNNNNNNNNNNNNNNNNNNNNNNNNNNNNNNNNNNNNNNNNNNNNNNNNNNNNNNNNNNNNNNNNNNNNNNNNNNNNNNNNNNNNNNNNNNNNNNNNNNNNNNNNNNNNNNNNNNNNNNNGGCGCUGGGGCGCCCGCGCCGGCGGCCGGCGGCUGUAGGAGGCCGACGGCGGCGGGGGGAAACCCUAGCGGGAGGAUGAGAGGAGCUCUAGGAGUCGCGGGACCGGAAUCCCCAACCCUUCUCCCCCAUCCCCUGUGAAUCCACAUAUCGAUCCUGGCUUACGCGUAUAGUCGAAUCAACCAAACUGCAAAUCAAAAUGGACAAACGAAUCAAAUGUUACCAACACAUGUACCUCGCUGGGGAGAAGGCAGUUUGCCCCAAUAAUCGGUAACAUAGUGGAAAUAAUCGAUUGAAAAGAUGAGCUCACUUGUGUGCCCUUGCUUGGCGGAAGGCGUUGGGAUAGAGGCGCCUGCGGAGGGUGGUGAGAAGAAGAUGCAGACUACUCCACACGUGCAUGCCUCUACCACCACGUAUAACAUGGAAUCCCGACACCCACCAACACUGUUAUUGCUGCCUCCUCGCAGCCCCUUCUUCCUCCUUGCACUGCCUCACACAGCUCACACAACUCUCUUUUCUCUCUGCCAUGGUUUCUCACAAGAAGUCAAGAACACAAGAAAACACACGCACGCACAGACACACAUGGGUCAAGGAAAAACACAAUAGCUUUGUCGAGAGACACCUUCCUUGGUGAGCCAUGACUACAUUGUGUUUCCAGCCCUCACGGCGGCCUUAAAUUUUUUCUCGUUCAUCUAUUUUCUUUAUAACCUUUUUCUCAUUCAUCUGUUGAACUUACUAGCAAAAGGGACCGUGCGUUGCAAUGGGGCAUUAAUAUUUAUAGCACAAGACCAAUUGUGUUAAAUGCCACGCAUGUGCUUCACUAUGGAGCAAAUGGCAAUUGCCAUGAAUUACAAUUGAUCGGAAAAUUCAAUUUAGUUAAAACUUGACAAUUAAAAUGAGUGCGUUAUGAUGGAAAAAGAGGUGAGGAAGACCUCCAAGUGAAAAGGCGAGGAAUGUAUUCAUAGUCAUAGAGCAUAUCUGAUUCGUUUUUUGUAGUAUGGGUUCCUUAUUCAUAGUCAUAGGCUUGAAACGAUCUCUUCGUUAGUCACCAAUGAAUCAGCAACUUAAUUAAUUAUAUAUGAGCUAAAUAUCAGAUUAGUUUAAUAUGAAGUAAUACGUUGUGAAGAAAGGAAGCAUGUCCAAAAAUUUAACAACGGGGCAAUUUUCUUGCAUUUCAGUUUGUAUGUGACAAGAAACAAAUGAGAUUUAUGAAAAAGUGGGAAUAAGCUACGCCAAGACUACUUAGCUAAAAGAUUUAUUUUGGAGUUGUUCAACUGGUCAAUCUAUCGUGUUCCUCUCAUCUUAUUGGAGCACUUGCCUUUAUUGUGUUCCUGAAUUAGCACAAGAUCAACAGAUGCAGCAUGCAUUUGCCAAUAUGCAUUCAUACCAUAGUGUACUGCCACCUAAGUAAAGUUAGCUGGUAGAUCCUGCUGAUCGGGUUGAACAACCAAAAAGAAAUUGAGAUGAGAGUCCCGUGAUCACAUGACCCGACAGAAAAAAAUAGGCCUUCAAGAUGCACCUGAAUCGUUCGUGCAGCCAAGCUGCUGAGCCAAGACCCGUCUCCAGUCGCAAGCCGGCAUUGUCCAGGAGCCGCGGUCAUAUCCAGUCGCGAGCAGGGAAUGUCUACGCGCCAUGAAUGAUCCAAUGGUGUUGGUAUUUUGUCCUACGACAGUGGAAUUCAGCGAGGUGCUUAUACCGAAAUACCAAUAUUACUGACCACUGGAAUCAAAGUAUUGUUUCUUACUUUGAAUUUAAAUCUGUCUAAGCUUUUGCACAUGAAUCAUAUAACUUAUACUACUUCACAUCAUGAAUUUCCCACUAAAUCAAAGAAGCCAAUGGUUAGUAUGACUACCCAGAAAAUUAAUUUCCGUUAAAGAACUUAUUAAACUAUAGAAGUGAACGGUUCUGUGUCUGGGAUCCGAUGGGGCAGCCUCUUCCAGUUCCAUGUCUUUUUUGUUUCGUCCUCCUGUACAUAUUCCCUGCAGCUUAUUGUGGGUGCUCAUCAUGCCAAUAAUUUGUACUUAGAGAUGAGAUGCAUGCUGUCAGACUCAAAACUUUUUGAUGGAAGUGAUAAAUACUCUAAUUUUGACAAAAUAUGAUGCCAUUCGCGUCUGCUGCCUUUAAAUACCAAUCUGAAUUUAACCAUAUCUGCUAUUUGAUCUGCAACAUACAGGCGUAUGGCCGCUCAACACUAAUUCCCCUAGACUCUCAGCCGCAGCCGCCACACUCGUCUCUAGGUCUCCUCAUCCUUUGACCCCCACCGUCGCCAUCUCUGCCUCUGCCAUGCUGCCUUCAUCAUUGCGGUGGAGCACGCGACGACUAAAGUGCCGGAAGCCUUCCUAGCGGUGGUUGGCUGUCAGAGUGUUAAGCCUGUGUUCCCAUUGCUAUCCUAUGGGUUUGAGCAUGACCAAGGCUAAUAGGCUACUGAGUUCCAUCACAAUUGGUAGCGCAUCAUGCUUAUGUACAUUAAGAAACCAUACAAAAUACAGAAAACAAAUACAACCUGAAAGGUUUAAAAAGGCCAAAGAAGCAUUAAGGAGACUAAUUAAUUAGGAAACUUGCAGACAUAUGACAGAUCAGAUGAGGCUAACUCAAUUUUCCAAAUUUCUUGCAACAGUGAUUUAUGUUUGAAGACGUUACACAGGUGGUGGUGAUCGAUACUACGCAGGGGAUUCAUGUAGAAACACCUAAACCAAUGAUUGAAAAUUGGUACCUCGGUUGGAGUUGAGUGGACGGCGUUCGGCGAAGUAGUCGAGAUUGGAACCUCGACUAGAACUCGAGCGGAUGGUGGUCCAGCGAAUUAGGCGAGAUUGGAAGCUCCGGACGCUAGUAUGGCACUUUCAAGCACCGUAACUUGUGAUUGCUCGGGGUUUGGGGGGUCGAGACCUUUUUAUGGCAGCGAGGGGAUCGGAUGAAAUCCGAGUCAGGUACCACCCCAUGGCUGCGUGCUCAGGUGGUUUCGUUAUCCUGCACGGACAGGACACAAGGACUAUGAUCCAAGUCGGAUGGAGAUGGAGGAGGCCGAGAGGCGGACUACGACGGAGCGGUGAGCGGCUGCCGGAUCGGCACGCUCUGGUUCGAGGCGCAGGGCCGGCGGUCGCCAUUGAGAGGACAUCGCCCUCCACCCAGUGCGUCACGGUGGGCUCUUCCUACCACUCAUCUCGCUCACCGCCGUCCUCGCCGCGGAGGUCCUCCUCGCCAACUCCCCUCGCUGCAGUCGUGCUCCUCGAUGCCAGAGCCAUCAGCUGCGCCGACCCGUCAAGUGAGGUAGAGAAGAGAAUGUGGAUUAGGAUAGGGUUGGCUGGAGGUGGAGCAGGCUGGGAGAUGAAAGGCGGCGGAGCGGUGAUCCAGGCACUUGGGCAACGAAGCGAUGAGGCGGAUCGGGAGGCGCUGAGGAGGAAGAAGAUGAGCGAGCGGAUCGUGGUCGGUCCGGCUUCUAAGUUGUUUUUUUAUUGACAAAACUCGUACCUGUACGAAAUAAAAGGAAACAAUCUUUCCCUUUUUUGGAAACAAAGCAUCGUUAUGUGAACCGGUUGGUGCCAGUUGCCUUCUUCUAUGCGAGUAGGGUUGGACUCCCCGGUAUCACAAUUUAUUUAUUUUAACCCAAAUGCGAUUUUCUUUUUUAGGUGCAACAGAAAACGGGAAGACGUACAAAAACAUAGACGUGGACCAAAAAACGUACGAAAAAUAAAGAUGUGAACAAAAAAGUUGGAGAAACAAUCCUGUCUUUAAUAUUAAAGAAAGAUAUAGCUAAUACAAAGGGACUUGCACGCAUAGCCUAGCCGGCUACUAACACCAUGUACACAGGUCAUUCAUGCCACUAACCAACUAACCCACGCACUACCACGUGACAUAUAUAGCAAUCAAUCCAAACAAUUAAAAAAACUAACCCACACACUAACAGAACCAAUGCAUCUCCUCCUAAAAUCUCUUUAGGAGUCAUGACUCCCCGGUAACACAAUUUAUUUAUUUUAACCCAAAUGCGAUUUUCUUUUUUAGGUGCAACAGAAAACAGGAAGACGUACAAAAAUAUAGACGUGGACCAAAAAACGUACGAAAAAUAAAGAUGCGAACUAAAAAGUUGGAGAAACAAUCCUGUCUUUAAUAUUAGAGAAAGAUAUAGCUAGUACAAAGGGACUUACACGCAUAGCCUAGCCGGCUACUAACACCAUGUACACAGGUCAUUCAUGCCACUAACCAACUAACCCACGCACUACCACGUGACACAUAUAGCAAUCAAUCCAAACAAUUAAAAAAAACUAACCCACGCACUAACAGAACCAAUGCAUCUCCUCCUAAAAUCUCUUUAGGAGUCAUGACUCCCCGGUAACACAAUUUAUUUAUUUUAACCCAAAUGCGAUUUUCUUUUUUAGGUGCAACAGAAAACAGGAAGACGUACAAAAAUAUAGACGUGGACCAAAAAACGUACGAAAAAUAAAGAUGUGAACAAAAAAGUUGGAGAAACAAUCCUUUCUUUAAUAUUAAAGAAAGAUAUAGCUAGUACAAAGGAACUUGCACGCAUAGCCUAGCCGGCUACUAACACCACGUACACAGGUCAUUCACGCCACUAACCAACUAACCCACGCACUACCACGUGACACAUAUAGCAAUCAAUCCAAACAAUUAAAAAAACUAACCCACGCACUAACAGAACCAAUGCAUCUACUCCUAAAAUCUCUUUAGGAGUCAUGACUUGCCUCCAAUGUACGUUGCAAGUAGCCCCCAGUUCAAGAAUUCAUCCGAUUAACCAGUUAACUUGUUGAUUAAUGCCUACUCAUAGGAUCAUUGAGUAGCUGAUAAACUGAUAAAUCGCCCGAUUAAUUGAUCAAAUGGCCGGUUAAUUUACCGAUCAGCCCAUUAAUCUCCUACUCGCUAGCCAGCUGAGCAGCUACCGGUUAACGAUUUUCUCAACAAUGCAAGUAGCUAACAAACUCUCAUGCAGCUAACUAUGCCUGGUACUUGCACGGCCAAGUCCAGCAGCCUCCUCAACGGCCACAAGACUCAACCCAACCAGUAUCCAUGAUAUUGUAUAGCCCAUCAUGCUCCAGUAUCUAGCAUGUCCUGCGCUUCUCGCGACCUUGCCGUAUCUCACAACAUCAUCGGCAUCUCACCGUGCUCGCCGCAUCGCACAACAGCCUGACAUAUCACCUCCUUCGCGCACACAACCAAAGAUUUAUUGGCCUAUACCACUCUACUAUUGUUUAAACUACAUGCACGUAGCAAAACUAAAUAUGCGGAUACAGGAAUCAAGAUUAAAUCUAACAUUUCCCCUCAUAGUCUUGAUUCUCCAAUCUCCACGUAGCUUCACUUUGCCUUGAACGACACCAUCGCAGGGACGAUCACCGUACACAUUCUUGUCGUGGACGACGUCAUCGCGGCGCCGGUCACCAUACCGCCUUGCCGCAUGCAGCGGCCACCUCUUGAUGUGGACGACGCCAUCAUAGCGCCGAUCACAACAUCAUCUUUCUAUGGACCACGCCAUCACAACGCUGGUCACCACGCACCUUGCCGCAACAUCACACUGCAACAGUUGUUGGCUUCGCACGAGCUAUGCAUGAUGACGAUGGCAUUGCACCACCGCCGUCGGCAUCGCACCGCAUCUCCUUGAAAUGGCAUCACAUCAUCGUCAUAGCAGCAUCACACCAUCGUCUCCUCCUAGUAGCAUCACAUCGCAACCGGCCACCGGCGACAUCGCGUCGCCGACGUCCUAGACCUCACAUGGAAUCCGCCGUUCGCCGUCCUCGACACGAAUCGACAUGGAUCUAAUGCCAAUUGUUGGCACUGCCUCCUCUUGAGUGGUGAGAGGAAGAAUAAGGGUGCUGCGAGAGGAGGCAGUGCCGCCAAACACGACAGCGACCGAUGCGUUGGAUCCGGGAGCCUUGACGUCAUGCAGGAUGGGAUGACGUAUCCAGGUCGGACGGCGGCGAGUGGCGCCGUGGCGUCAGACGCUUCAUAUUUGACCAUGAUGCGGUGCACUAUGUUGCUCAGCGGCGAUGUGGAAGGCUUUAGGAUCGAGGUGUCAGUGAAGGGUGGUGAGCACAUGACAAGAAGGCAGACGACCCCAUAUGUGCUAGCCUCUGCUGCGAGAUAUAACGCAAACUCCUCGGCGUGCAUCAAUUCAACAUAGUAGCGAGCGAUGUGCUGGAGUCGAAAGCCUCGACGUCGGCCUGGAUGGGACGGAGUCAAUGGGUUGGACGCUAGUGAGCAGCGUGGUGGGGUCCGACACUGACAGACUAUGUCGGCGUCCCGGAACUAAGGCUGAUUGUAUUGGGGUGUAUCAUAUACUAGUAUCAUGCAUAUGAUACUAGUGUAUGAUACUACAUCCGCAAUGCAUAAUAUCAUAUGUUGUAUCAUAGAGGGCUAUAUUUAUUACCAUGCAUGACACAAAGUAGCACAUCAUUUAAUAUGAUACGGUAUCAUGAUAUGAUACUCAAGCAUCUCUUUCUUUAUUUAAUUCUUUGUCACCUCAUCAAAAGUGCUUAGUUGACAUGCAUGAUACUACCUAUAAUACUGCCAUUACGGUCAGCCUAAUAACGGCAAAGAUCGUCAGGUGGGAGAUCGAUGGGAUAUCCAUGUGGUCUUGUCGACCGUCACUACUACUGAUUGGUGUGGUGGAUUCGGCGGUUGAAGAUCUUAUAUCGAGGAAGGUGCAAAAUAGAAGAUGAAUAUGAGUAGGAAAUUCAAACGGCAAGGGAAUAACUAAUGUUCAUUAACUAUGUGAACUUGGGAAGAUGGAGAUAAAACGAUGCAUCUCCGCGGCUCUUCAGAACUCCUUGUUUUUUUUCUUGAGGGGUAAACCAAGCUUUUAUUCAUCAAAGACUAUAUGAUGUGGGAUAAAAUUCGGGUCAUGGGGUUGGCUAAACCAAACGUGACGCCCCAGACCUAAUGAAAGUGAAUGCUUGGCUAGACUAUGUGCUUCUAAGUUGGUAGCACGACCUUUGAAAACAAAAUUGCAACAAGAUGAAUCUAACUGAAGUCUAAUUUCAUUGAUGAUAGCACCGCAGGUGCCCAAGCUGCCCUUAUUGAUAGCACCAAUCACUUGUUGUGCAUCCAAAGCAAUUACAAACUGAUUGAGGUGUAGAUCUGCUGCUAGUGCCAACCCUUCACGAUAGGCUAUAGUUUCGCGCUGCCGGGUCAUCUAGUCCGCCAAUGACCAUAGUAGAACUCCCCAGAAAAGCAAGUGUGUUGUCCCUGCAGACUGCAGCUGCAGUACCUCUGCUGCCUCGUCGGCAUCCAGCGUCUACAUUGAUUUUCACGUACCCCUGGGGAGGAGCUUUUGGUCUCUGGCUCGCUGCUGCCACUAUUGGUUCUGCUUGGGGCACCUGCUGGUUCCCCCUGAUAGCAUCUAAUUCAUUGAUGAAUUUGUUAACAAAAGUGUAGAUCAUAUGCAGACUUUGGAAAAUCCCUUCGUGAAUUGCUUUACGUCUUGCGGCCCAUAAUGCCCAGAGUGUAACCGAAAGCUUCACAAAAUCUUUAUGUGAUAAUGAGUCCAUCAAUGUGAAUACCACUAUUUUGCAUUCGGUUCAGUUGUUGUAGCCAUUAUUUGAGCCAACUCCUCAUCAACCAACGAUCACGUACAACGAGACAUGGUGCACUCUAAUACGUUCAUUUUGCGUCAUGUUUUUCUACUGUUAUUUAUUAUGUUUUGAGCCAUUAUUUUACUUUAUGAUAUAAUUCUUAUGCGGUUUCUCUCUUAUUUUGCAAAUUUCACAUGAAGAGGGAGAUUGCCGGCAGCUAAAAUUCAGGACCGGAAAGGGCUACAUUAGAAAUACCUAUUCUGCACAACUCCAAAUGACCUCAAAAUUGGCAGGGAAUUAUUUUAGAGUAUAUAAAAUUUAUUGCUGAAAGAAACAUCAAACUAUGACAACCUUGUACCCUAGGCGUCUAGGGUUUUUAUACUCCGUCGUCUCCCUGGCGGCAUUGAGUUAGUUAGUCUUGUUUCUGUCCCUGAUCUCAUAAUAGUCCCCCACCCCGCGACUGCACUCGUCGUCCAGAUGGCCGCAUCAUCGUCCUCAAGGAGUCCGGACGGUGCAGCGGGAGGAAAAGGCAAGGGUGGUGUUGGAAUCGAUCUAGAAGAUGCGAUGAAGCCGAAGACGAAGAGCUUGAUGACAUUUUUGUGGCUGAAGAGGAAAUCUCGGGUCUCUCCAAAUCUGCUAGAUGGUUAGCGGUUGAUGAGGUGAACACGAACAAGUUCUUUGGUGCAGAUGCAUUCAAGGAUACUAUGAAAUAUGCAUGGAACUUGGCACAUGAACCAGAGAUCACGGAAGUUGAUGACAAUCUCUUUGUGAUUCAGUGCUUUUGCCUAGGCGAAUAGAACAAGGUCAUGCACCAGGGUCUGUGAAUCUUCCGCGGUUUGGUUGUACUUAUUGAUGAAUAUGGCGGCAAAAGAAAAACCAUGAUUAUUCAAGAUGGAGCAAGUCAAUGUCUGGGCACAGAUUGAUGAUACUCCGAACCUCUAGGUUGGAAGGCAUUGCUGAUCAGAUGGCUCGUAGGAUUGGCCAGGUAAACAACAUGGAGAUGAACCCAUCCAGGGUUUAGGUUUAGACCCUUGAACCUUAAUGGGAAGGAGCAAUUUUUAUGCUAGUUAAGUACGAGAAGAUCGGCUUAUUUUGUGGAGUUUGCGGCAUCCUUGGUCAUAACCUAAGACGAGGUUCAUGGGCUAGAUGAUAGAGAAUAUGAGGACUAUAUGAUGUGGGUAACUGGUAAGAAGGUCAUUUUCUAGUGAUCGGAGUGCUAGUCGAGGUGGUUUUUCUGCUCUGGCCAGGGGCAUGCCGUUCAAGGGUGCGUGAGGUCGGCACCGUGGUGGUCGCUCGACUGGCACAUGAAACAUGCCCCGCAAGUGACUUUCAAGGAAGGCAAGCUUGGAUGAAGAUGGAGAGGAUGAGUUGGACGACUCGAUGACUAGCCCAUUAAAGAAUACGUCAGCUCCGGUAGGUGAAGAGAAGGACAAGGAAAGUGUUGCAACGAAGUUAGACCCUCGUACAUAAAAUGUGCAUGCUAAUGUUAAGGAUCAUGAUGUCACCGGAGAGAAGAACAUGCAAGAAGCUAUGCCAAGGAAGGGCAUGGUGACGGGCUGCAUGUCCCUCUUCUCCCAUCUCAAUAUGUGAAGUGAAGGGAUAAGAAGAAACCAAAACAGGGAACUUCACCCUAAAAAAGAUGAACUCUGAUGAAAAAUUGGCAGGCUUCGGCGUUUAGGUUGGGCUUUGAUAAUUGUUAUGCCGUAGGGAGUGAUGGCCGCAAUGGCGGUUUGGCUAUGUACAAGAAUAAUUAUAUUACAAUGAAAUUGAUUCACUAUUCCUAGUAUCAUAUUGAUAUGGAAAUUAGAAUAUAUGGAGAAGAACAAUGGCAGCUUACAAAUAUCUAUGGAGGAGCUAAUACAAGGGAGAGAGAAAACUUGGAAACUUCUCGAGUUCCUGAGAUUGAGUCAGAUCUUCCCUACUAUGUAUUGGUGAUUUCAAUGAAGUACUACAUCAGUGUGAGGUUGGGGUCGGCAAGAGGGACACCAAGUAAAUGAAUGACUUUCGAGAAGUAGUGGAUGUAAUUGGGACCCUAAUUCAUAGACCACCACCACCAUCCGUUUGUUUUCUUAAAAAAACACCACUAUUGUGCUAACAAUUUCAGAAAAUACUGGUCACUGGAUUAUCACUGAAUUAGAGACGAUGUUUGACAAAAAAACUGACAUCUGAGUCCCAUGGUCAGGUGCCAUGUGGCCAGUAUGAGAUAAUGUCGCUAAAAAAAUUUCACUGAAUGGAAUCAUAAGGAAGAGAUCAUGUGGAAGCAGAGAUCAAGGGUUCAGGGGAUAACAACACAAAAAUAAUCAGCGGGCAAGCACAUGGAGGAAGAAGAACAAGAUAGGACAACUCGCUAUGUCUGAUGAGUUGUGACGGAUGUUCACGUGCUGCAUAACCUCAUAGUCCAUUUCUGUAAAACUCUAUACACUUUUGAAGGGGCAACAGGGACGGACGUGGUCCUUGAUAGUGUAACGGUAAAGAUGACACAAGUGGUGAACUUCAGGCUCGAUAAGGAGUAUGAGCCCGUAGAGGUGAAGGUUGUUCCUUUUCAUAUGCUCCCCACAAAGGUGUCGGACCCUAGAGGAAGUCUAUCACAUUUUUCAGUGUCACUAGGAUGUUUGUGGGGAUGAGGCAACAAAAGCAGUACUAAGCAUCCUUAAUGGGAUGGGGUGUUGGAAAACGUAGUAGAAAACAAAAAAAUCGCCCUACGAUCACCUAGGAACAAUAUGAAGAUGCAUAUAGGGUUUGGAUCAAUGAUAAUUACCAACUCUGGAGUGCAACAGAAGUAGACGAGUUGGUGUAGAUCGUACUUGGAGUCCCUCGAACCAUUGAUGAUGACACUUCAAACCGUAGACAUAGUGGCAACACAAGUAGAAAUAGUAACGGAAUAUUUUUUGGGGGGGGUAUUGUUUGGAAAUUAUGGCAAACAAAGAAGGCAAAAAUUCAAAAGGCAACUAGACAAGAAAAUAGAAACAAGCAAAAUAGAAGUGUUUCUGCGAAGGCACCUGAUUUGGUACAUGAUGACUCCCCUGUUGGGGAACGUAGCAUAAAUUCAAAAUUUUCCUACGUGUCACCAAGAUCUAUCUAUGGAGAAACCAGCAACGAGGGGAAGGAGAGUGCAUCUACAUACCCUUGUAGAUCGCUAAGCGGAAGCGUUCAAGAGAACGGGGUUGAAGGAGUCGUACUCAUCGUGAUCCAAAUCACUGGAGAUCCUAGUGCCGAACGGACGGCACCUCCGCGUUCAACACACGUACAGCCCGGUGACGUCUCCCAUGCCUUGAUCCAGCAAGGAGAGAGGGAGAGGUUGAGGAAGACUCCAUCCAGCAGCAGCACAACGGCGUGGUGGUGAUGGAGGAGCGUGGCAAUCCUGCAGGGCUUCGCCAAGCACCGCGGGAGAGGAGGAGUAAGAGAGGUAGGGCGCGCCAAUAGAGGGAGAAACUCAUAUCUUGGGCAGCCCCCAAGCCUCAAGUAUUUAUAGGGGGAGGGGAGGGGCUGCGCCCCCUCUAGGGUUCCCUCCCCAAGGGUGGCGGCAGCCCCCAGAUGCCAUCUGGGUGGUGGCCAGAGGGGGAGAGAGGGGAGGCGCGCCUGGGGUGGGCCUUAGGGCCCAUCUGCCCUAGGGUUUGCCCCCUCCCACUCUCCCUUGCGCCUUGGGCCCCUUGUGGGGGGCGCACCAGCCCACCUGGGGCUGGUUCCCUCCCACACUUGGCCCAUGCAGCCCUCCGGGGUUGGUGGCCCCACUUGGUGGACCCCCGGGACCCUCCCGGUGGUCCCGGUACUUUAACGGAAAAACCCGAAACUUUUCCGGUGACCAAAACAGGACUUCCCAUAUAUAAAUCUUUACCUCCGGACCAUUCCAGAACUCCUCGUGACGUCCGAGAUCUCAUCCGGGACUCCGAACAACAUUCGGUAACCACAUACAAACUUCCUUUAUAACCCUAGCGUCAUCGAACCUUAAGUGUGUAGACCCUACGGGUUCGGGAACCAUGCAGACAUGACCGAGACGUUAUCCGGUCAAUAACCAACAGCGGGAUCUGGAUACCCAUGUUGGCUCCCACAUGUUCCACGAUGAUCUCACCGGAUGAACCACGAUGUCAAGGACUCAAUCGAUCCCAUAUACAAUUCCCUUUGUCUAGCGGUAUUGUACUUGCCCGAGAUUCGAUCGUCAGUAUACCGAUGCCUUGUUCAAUCUCGUUACCGGCAAGUCUCUUUACUCGUUCUGUAACACAUCAUCCCGUGAUCAACCCCUUGAUCACAUUGUGCACAUUAUGAUGAUGUCCUACCGAGUGGGCCCAGAGAUACCUCUCCGUUUACACGGAGUGACAAAUCCCAGUCUCGAUUCGUACCAACCCAACAGACACUUUCGGAGAUACCUGUAGUGCACCUUUAUAGCCACCCAGUUACGUUGUGACGUUUGGUACACCCAAAGCAUUCCUACAGUAUCCGGGAGUUGCACAAUCUCAUGGUCUAAGGAAAUGAUACUUGACAUUAAAAAAGCUUUAGCAUACGAACUACGAUCUUUGUGCUAGGCUUAGGAUUGGGUCUUGUCCAUCACAUCAUUCUGCUAAUGAUGUGAUCCCAUUAUCAACGACAUCCAAUGUCCAUGGUUAGGAAACCUUAACCAUCUAUUGAUCAACGAGCUAGUCAACAGAGGCUUACUAGGGACAUGGUGUUGUCUAUUUAUCCACACAUGUAUCUGAGUUUCCUUUCAAUACAAUUAUAGCAUGGAUAAUAAACGAUUAUCAUGAACAAGGAAAUAUGAUAAUAACUAAUUUAUUAUUGCCUCUAGGGCAUAUUUCCAACAGUCUCCCACUUGCACUAGAGUCAAUAAUCUAGUUCACAUCGCCAUGUGAUCAACAUUGAUAGGUCACAUCGCCAUGUGACCAACAUCCAAAGAGUCUACUAGUGUCUUAAACUAGUUCACAUCACCAUGUGAUUAAGUCUCAAUGAGUUCUAGGGUUUGAUCAUGUUUUUGCUUGUAAGAGAAGUUUUAGUCAACGGGUCUGCAACAUUCAGAUCCGUAUGUACUUCGCAAAUUUCUAAGUCAUGUUGUAAAUGCUGCUUCUACGCUCCACUAUACGUAUCCGGUUUGCUACUCAGAGUCACUCGGAUAGGUGUUAAAGCUUGCAUUGACGUAACCCUUUACGCCGAACUCUUUAUCACCUCCAUAAUCGUGAAACAUGUCCUUAUUUACUCCAAGGACAAUUGUGACCGCUGUCCAAUGAUCCAUUCCUGGAUCAUUCUUGUACCCCUUGACUGACUCAUGGCAAGGCACACUUCCGGUGCGGUACACAGCAUAGCAUACUAUAGAGCCUACGUCUGAAGCAUAGGGGACGACCUUCGUCCUUUCUCUCUUUUCUGCCGUGGUCGAGCUUUAAGUCUUAACUUCAUACCUUACAUCUCAGGCAAGAACUCCUUCUUUGACUGAUCCAUCUUGAACACCUUCAAGAUCAUGUCAAGGUAUAUGCUCAUUUGAAAGUACCAUUAAGUGGUUUUGAUCUAUCCUCAUACAUCUUGAUGCUCAAUGUUCAAGUAGCUUAAUCCAGGUUUUCUAUUGAAAAACACUUUUCAAAUAACCCUAUAUGCUUUACAGAAAAUUCUACAUCAUUUCUGAUCAUCAACAUGUCAACAAUAUAUACUCAUCAGAAAUUCUAUAGUGCUCCCACUCACUUCUUUGGAAAUACAAGUUUCUCAUAAACUUUGUAUAAACCCAAAAUCUUUGAUCAUCUUAUCAAAGUACAUAUUCCAACUCCGAGAUGCUUACUCCAGUCCUUAGAAGGAUCGCUGGAGCUAGCAUACCUUUUAGCAUCCUUAGGAUCGACAAAACCUUUCUGAUUGUAUCACAUACAACCUUUCCUUACGAAAACUAGUAAGGAAACUCGUUUUGUCAUCCAUCUGCCAGAUUUCAUAAAUGCAGCUUGUGCUAACAUGAUUCCGACGGACUUAAGCAUCGCUACGGAUGAGAAAAUCUCAUCGUAGUCAACUCCUUGAACUUGUGAAAAACUCUUCGCCACAAGUCGAGCUUCAUAGACGGUGAAAUUACCGUCCACGUCCGUCUUCUUCUUAAAGAUCCAUUUAUCUCAAUGGCUUGCCGAUCAUUGGGCAACUCCACCAAAGUCCAUGCUUUGUUAUGAUACAUGGAUCCUAUCUCGGAUUUCAUGGCUUCUAACCAUUUGUCGGAAUUUGGGCCCACCAUCGCUUCUCCAUAGCUCGUAGGUUCAUUGUUGUCUAGCAACAUGACCUUCAAGACAAGAUUACUGUGCCACUCUGAAGUGGUACGCAUCCUUGUCACCCUACGAGGUACGGUAGUGACUUGAUCCAAAACUUCAUGAUCACUAUCAUAAGCUUCUACUUCAAUUGGUGUAGGUGCCACAGGAACAACUUCCUAUGCCCUGCUACACACUAGUUGAAGUGACGGUUCAAUAACCUCAUCAAGUCUCCACCAUCCUCCCACUCAAUUCUUCGAGACAAACUUUUCCUCGAGAAAGGACCUGAUUCAAGAAACAAUCCCUAUUGCUUUCGGAUCUGAAUUAGGAGGUAUACCCAACUGUUUUGGGUGUCCUAUGAAGAUGCACUUUGUCCGCUUUGGAUUCGAGCUUAUCAACCUGAAACUUUUUCACAUAAGCGUCACAGCCCCAAACUUUUAAGAAACGACAACUUAGGUUUCUCCAAACCAUAAUUCAAACAGUGUCGUCUCAACGGAAUUACAUGGUGCCCUAUUUAAAGUGAAUAUGGUUGUCUCUAAUGCCUAACCCAUAAACAAUAGUGGUAAUUCGAUAAGAGACAUCAUGGUACGCACCAUAUCCAAUAGGGUGCAACUAUGAUGUUCGUGCACACCAUCACACUAUGGUGUUCCAGGCGGUAUUAAUUGUGAAACAAUUUCCACAAUGUCUUAAUUGCGUGCCAAAGCUCGUAACUCAGAUACUCAUCUCUAUGAUCAUAUCAUAGACAUUUUAUCCUCUUAUCACGAUGAUCUUCAACUUCACUCUGAAAUUACUUGAACCAUUCAAUAAUUCAGACUUGUGUUUUAUCAAGUAAAUAUACUCAGUAUCUACUCAAAUCAUCCGUGAAGUAAGAACAUAACGAUAUUCACUGCAUGCCUCAGCACUCAUUGGACUGCACACAUCAAAAUGUGUUGCUUCCAACAAGUUGCUAUCUUGUUCCAUUUUACUGAAAAUGAGGCUUUCAGUCAUCUUGCCCAUGUGGUAUAAUUUGCAUAUCUCAAGUGAUCCAAAAUCAAGUGAGUCCAAACGAUCCAUCUGCAUGGAGUUUCUUCAUGCGUAUACACCAAUAGACAUGGUUCGCAUGUCUCAAACUUUUCAAAAACGAGUGAGUCCAAAGAUCCAUCAACAUGGAGCUUCUUCAUGCGUUUUAUACCAAUAUGACUUACAUGGCAGUGCCACAAGUAAGCGGUACUAUCAUUACUAUCUUAUAUCUUUUGGCAUGAAAAUGUGUAUCACUACGAUCGAGAUUCAGUAAACCAUUCCUUUAGGUGCAAGACCACUGAAGGUAUUAUUCACAUAAAUAGAGUAACCAUUAUUCUCCUUAAAUGAAUAACCGUAUUGCAACAGACAUAAUCCAAUCAUGUCUAUGCUCAACGCAAACACCAAAUGACAAUUAUUCAGGUUUAAUACUAAUCUUGAUGGUAGAGGGAGCGUGCGAUGUUUGAUCACAUCAAUCUUGGAAACACUUCCAACACAUAUCGUCAACUCACCUUUAGCUAGUCUCCGUUUAUUCCGUAGCUCUUUUAUUUCGAGUUGCUAACACUUAGCAACCAAACCGGUAUCUUAAUACCCUGGUGCUACUAGGAGUACUAGUAAAGUACACAUUAACAUAAUGUAUAUCCAAUAUACUUCUAUCGACCUUGCCAGCCUUCUCAUCUACCAAGUAUCUAGGGUAAUUCCGCUCUAGUGACUGUUCCCCUCAUCAAAGAAGCACUUAGUCUCGGGUUUGGGUUCAACCUUGGGUUUCUUCACUGGAGCGGCAGCUGAUUUGUCGUUUCAUGAAGUAUCCCUUCUUGCCCUUGCCCUUCUUGAAACUAGUGGUUUCACCAACCAUCAACAAUUGAUGCUCCUUCUUGAUUUCUACUUUCGCGGUGUCAAACAUCGCGAAUACCUCAAGGAUCAUCAUAUCUAUCCCUGAUAUGUUAUAGUUCAUCACGAAGCUCUAGCAGCUUGGUGGCAAUGACAUUAGAGAAACAUCACUAUCUCAUCUGGAAGAUAACUCCCACUCGAUUCAAGUGAUUGUUGCACUCAGACAAUCUGAGCACAAGCUCAACGAUUGAGCUUUUCUCCCUUAGUUUGGAGGCUAAGAAAAUCGUCGGAGGUCUUAUACCUCUUGACGUGGGCACGAGCCUGAAAUCCCAAUUUCAGCCCUCGAAACAUCUCAUAUGUUCCGCGACAUUUCGAAAAAACGUCUUUGGUGCCUCAACUCUAAACCGUUUAACUGAACUAUCACGUAGUUAUCAAAACGUGUAUGUCCUAUGUUCGCAACAUCCACAAACGACGUUUGGGGUUCAGCACACUGAGCGGUGCAUUAAGGACGUAAGCUUUCUACUGUCUGCAUAAUCGCUACUGUCAACUUUCAACUAUAUUUUCUCUAGGAACAUAUCUAAACAUUGGAACUAAAGCGCGAGCUUACGACAUAACUUGCAAAGAUCUUUUGACUAUGUUCAGGAUAAUUAAGUUCAUCUUAUGAACUCCCACUCAGAUAGACAUCCCUCUAGUCAUCUAAGUGAUUACAUGAUCCGAGUCAACUAGGCCGUGUCCGAUCAUCACGUGAGACGGACUAGUCAUCAUCGGUGAACAUCUUCAUGUUGAUCGUAUCUACUAUACGACUCAUGCUCGACCUUUCGGUCUCUGUGUUCCGAGGCCAUGUCUGUACAUGCUAGGCUCGUCAAGUUAACCCUAAGUGUUUCGCGUGUGUAAAUCUGUCUUACACCCGUUGUAUGUGAACGUAAGAAUCCAUCACACCCGAUCAUCACGUGGUGCUUAGAAGCGACGAACUUUAGCAACGGUGCACAGUUAGGGGAGAACACUUCUUGAAAUUGUUGUAAGGGAUCAUCUUAUUUACUACCGUCGUUCUAAGUAAACAAGAUGCAUAAACAUAAUAAACAUCACAUGCAAUUAUAUAGUAGUGACAUGAUAUGGCCAAUAUCAUAUAGCUCCAUUGAUCUCCAUCUUCGGGGCUCCAUGAUCAUCAUCGUCACCGGCAUGACACCAUGAUCUCCAUCAUCAUGAUCUCCAUCAUCGUGUCUCCAUGAAGUUGUCUCGCCAACUUUUUACUUCUACUACUAUGGCUACCGGUUAGCAAUAAAGUAAAGUAAUUACAUGGCGUUGUUCAAUGACACGCAGGUCAUACAAUAAAUAAAGACAACUCCUAUGGCUCCUGCCGGUUGUCAUACUCAUCGACAUGCAAGUCGUGAUUCCUAUUACAAGAACAUGAUCAAUCUUAUACAUCACAUAUCAUUCAUCACAUUCUUCUUGGCCAUAUCACAUCACAUAGCAUACCCUGCAAAAACAAGUUAGACGUCCUCUAAUUGUUGUUUGCAUGUUUUACGUGGCUGCUAUGGGUUUCUAGCAAGAACAUUUCUUACCUACGCAAAACCACAACGUGAUAUGUCAAUUGCUAUUUACCCUUCAUAAGGACCCUUUUCAUCGAAUCCGAUCCGACUAAAGUGGGAGAGACUGGCACCCGCUAGCCACCUUAUGCAACAAGUGCAUGUCAGUCGGUGGAACCUGUCUCACAUAAGUGUACGUGUAAGGUCGGUCCGGGAUGCUUCAUCCCACAAUGCCGUCGAAACAAGAUUGGACUAGUAACGGUAAGCAUAUUGAACAAAAUCAACACCCACAACUACUUUGUGUUCUACUCGUGCAAAGAAUCUACGCAAUAGACCUAGCUCAUGAUGCCACUGUUGGGGAACGUAGCAUAAAUUCAAAAUUUUCCUACGUGUCACCAAGAUCUAUCUAUGGAGAAACCAGCAACGAGGGGAAGGAGAGUGCAUCUACAUACCCUUGUAGAUCGCUAAGCGGAAGCGUUCAAGAGAACGGGGUUGAAGGAGUCGUACUCGUCGUGAUCCAAAUCACCGGAGAUCCUAGUGCCGAACGGACGGCACCUCCGCGUUCAACACACGUACAACCCGGUAACGUCUCCCAUGCCUUGAUCCAGCAAGGAGAGAGGGAGAGGUUGAGGAAGACUCCAUCCAGCAGCAGCACAACGGCGUGGUGGUGAUGGAGGAGCGUGGCAAUCCUGCAGGUCUUUGCCAAGCACCACGGGAGAGGAGGAGUAAGAGAGGUAGGGCUGCGCCAAUAGAGGGAGAAACUCAUAUCUUGGGCAGCCCCCAAGCCUCAAGUAUUUAUAGGGGGAGGGGAGGGGGCUGCGCCCCCUCUAGGGUUCCCUCCCCAAGGGUGGCGGCAGCCCCCAGAUGCCAUCUGGGUGGCGGCCAGAGGGGGAGAGAGGGGAGGCGCGCCUGGGGUGGGCCUUAGGGCCCAUCUGCCCUAGGGUUUGCCCCCUCCCACUCUCCCUUGCGCCUUGGGCCCCUUGUGGGGGGCGCACCAGCCCACCUGGGGCUGGUUCCCUCCCACACUUGGCCCAUGCAGCCCUCCGGGGUUGGUGGCCCCACUUGGUGGACCCCCGGGACCCUCCCGGUGGUCCCGGUACGUUACCGGAAAAACCCGAAACUUUUCCGGUGACCAAAACAGGACUUCCCAUAUAUAAAUCUUUACCUCCGGACCAUUCCGGAACUCCUCGUGACGUUCAGGAUCUCAUCCGGGACUCCGAACAACAUUCAGUAACCACAUACAAACUUCCUUUAUAACCCUAGCGUCAUCGAACCUUAAGUGUGUGGACCCUACGGGUUCGGGAACCAUGCAGACAUGACCGAGACAUUAUCCGGUCAAUAACCAACAGCAGGAUCUGGAUACCCAUGUUGGCUCCCACAUGUUCCACGAUGAUCUCAUCGGAUGAACCACGAUGUCAAGGACUCAAUCGAGCCCGUAUACAAUUCCCUUUGUCUAGCGGUAUUGUACUUGCCCGAGAUUCGAUCGUCGGUAUACCGAUACCUUGUUCAAUCUCGUUACUGGCAAGUCUCUUUACUCGUUCCGUAACACAUCAUCCCGUGAUCAACCCCUUGAUCACAUUGUGCACAUUAUGAUGAUGUCCUACCGAGUGGGCCUAGAGAUACCUCUCCGUUUACACGGAGUGACAAAUCCCAGUCUCGAUUCGUACCAACCCAACAGACACUUUCGGAGAUACCUGUAGUGCACCUUUAUAGCCACCCAGUUACGUUGUGACGUUUGGUACACCCAAAGCAUUCCUACAGUAUCCGAGAGUUGCACAAUCUCAUGGUCUAAGGAAAUGAUACUUGACAUUAAAAAAGCUUUAGCAUACGAACUACGAUCUUUGUGCUAGGCUUAGGAUUGGGUCUUGUCCAUCACAUCAUUCUGCUAAUGAUGUGAUCCCGUUAUCAACGACAUCAAAUGUCCAUGGUUAGGAAACCGUAACCAUCUAUUGAUCAACGAGCUAGUCAACAGAGGCUUACUAGGGACAUGAUGUUGUCUAUUUAUCCACACAUGUAUCUGAGUUUCCUUUCAAUACAAUUAUAGCAUGGAUAAUAAACGAUUAUCAUGAACAAGGAAAUAUGAUAAUAACUAAUUUAUUAUUGCCUCUAGGGCAUAUUUCCAACAUCCCCGACAACUGUGACGCCCCCGAUUUAAUCGUACACUAAUCAUGCACGCAAAUGUGUACAAUCAAGAUCAGGGACUCACGGGGGGAUAUCACAACACAACUCUAAAACAUAAAUAAGUCAUACAAGCAUCAUAAUACAAGCCAGGGGCCUCGAGGGCUCGAAUACAAGUGCUCGAUCAUAGACGAGUCAGCAGAAGCAACAAUAUCUGAGAACAGACAUAAGUAAACAAGUAGCCAUAGAUGACUAACACAAACUAGGACACAAAUCGAAAGAGGCGCAGGCCUCCUGCCUGGGAUCCUCCUAACUACUCCUGGUCGUCGUCAGCGGCCUGCACGUAGUAGUAGGCACUUCCAGUGUAGUAGGAAUCAUCGUCGACGAUGGCGUCUGGCUCCUGGACUCCAGCAUCUGGUUGCGACAUCCGGAAAGAAAGGAAAGGGGGGAAAAGGGGGGAGAAAGCAACCAUGAGUACUCAUCCAAAGUACUCGCAAGCAAGGAGCUACACUACAUAUGCAUGGGUAUAUGUGUAAAGGGCCAUAUCGGUGGACUGAACUGUAGAAUGCCAGAAAAAAGGGGGAUAGCUAAUCCUGUCGAAGACUACGCUUCUGGCAGCCUCCGUCUUGCAGCAUGUAGAAGAGAGUAGAUUGAAGUCCUCCAAGUAGCAUCUCCAAGUAGCAUCUGCAGUCGCAUCUCCAGUCGCAUCGCAUAGCAUAAUCCUACCCAGCGAUCCUCUCCUCAUAUCCCUGAGGGAGAGCGACCACCGGUUGUAUCUGGCACUUGGAAGGGUGUGUUUUAUUAAGUAUCCGGUUCUAGUUGUCAUAAGGUCAAGGUACAACUCCAAGUCGUCCUGUUACCGAAGAUCACGGCUAUUCGAAUAGAUUAACUUCCCUGCAGGGGUGCACCAACUUACCCAACACGCUUGAUCCCAUUUGGCCGGACACACUUUCCUGGGUCAUGCCCGGCCGCGGAAGAUCAACACGUCGCAGCCCCACCUAGGCACAACAGAGAGGCCAGCACGCCGGUCUAAACCUAAGCGCACAGGGGUCUGGGCCCAUCGCCCAUAGCACACCUGCACGUUGCGUACGCGGCCGAAAGCAGAACUAGCCCCCUUAAUACAAGAGCAGGCUUACGUUCCAAUCCGGCGCGCUCCACUCAGUCGCUGGCGUCACGAAGGCUUCGGCUGGUACCACGACGCCGGGAUACCCAUAACUACUCCCACGUAGAUGGUUAGUGCGUAUAGGCUCGUAGCCAACUCAGAUCAAAUACCAAGAUCUCGUUAAGCGUGUUAAGUACCCGCAAACGCCGAACAGGGCCAGGCCCACCUCUCUCCUAGGCGGUCUCAACCUGCCCUGUCGCUCCGCCACAAAGAUCCACUCGCGGGUGCUCCACCAGCCGACCCGACUUUAGUCUCCACAUGUAUCAUGUAUAAGGUAUAUAGUAUAUACCCGUGAUCACCUCCCGAGUGAUCACGGCCCGAUAAUAUAGCACGGCUGAUGGACAAGAAUGUAGGGCCACAGAUGAAUAUACUAGCAUCCUAUACUAAGCAUAUAGGAUUGCAGGUAAAGGUAACAACAGUAGUAUCAAGGACAGGCUAUCCAUCAGGAUAGGUAUAACAGAAAGCAGUAACAUGCUACACUACUCUAAUGCAAGCAGUAUAGAGUAGAAUAGGCGAUAUCUGGUGAUCAAGGGGGGGGGCUUGCCUGGUUGCUCUGGCAAGAGAGAGGGGUCGUCAACACCGUAGUCGUACUGGGUAGCAGCGGCGUCGGUCUCGAUGUCUAGCGAGAGAAGAGGGGGAAGAAACAAUAAAUAUAAUGCAAACAAAUGCAUGACGAUGCAUGACAUGACGAAGCGUGAUGUUAGGUGUACCCUAACGCGGUACGAGGUGGUACCGGUGAAGGGGGAAUCAUCCGGGAAAGUAUUCCCGGUGUUUCGCAUUUUCGGACAGAGGAGCCGGAGGGGGAAAGUUGCGAGUUCGAUAGGUUAGGGGGUGUGGCGGACGAACGGGUUGCGUAUCCGGAUUCGUCUCGUCGUUCUGAGCAACUUUCAUGUUGAAAAUAAUUUAAUCCGAGUUACAGAUUAAAGGAUAUGAUUUUCUAAAGAUUUUAUUAAUUUCUAGAAUCUAAUUAAUUAUUUAAUUUAAUUCAAAAUUUGGUUUUAUGACAUUAGCAUGAUAUCAUGCUGAUGUCAGCAGUCAACAGAGUUGACUGGUCAACCUGACCAGUGGGUCCCACUGGUCAGUGACACAUUUUAAUUAGACAUAUUAAUUAACCUAAUUAGUAUUAAUUAGGGGGUGGGCCCCACUGUCAUUGACUGAUUAACUAAAACAGAUUAACUAGUUUAAUUGGUAAUUAGGUUAAUCUAAUCAGAAUUAGUUAAGUUAAUUAAUUAACUGAUUAAUUAAUAUUUUAUUAUUUUCUUUUAAUCUUUCUUUUUGAAACGUUCUGGGGCUGGGCCCCGUUUGGCAGUGGCCCAGAGGGGCGAUGCGGUUUACAGGCGCUAGCGGGCGCCGGGUCUCGGGCGUCGCCCGAGCGAGGGGGGAAGCGAGGCAAGGCCAGUGGCAAACGCCGGCGAGGAGCGUGGCGCAGGGAGCGGCCAGACAGGGAGGGGUAAGGCGAAGGCCAUGGCAGAGCUGGGCGGUCGUGGCGAGGCACCGGCCGUGGCCGCGAGCGGUGAAGGCGCGGGUCGCGGCAGAGGCAAGGCCACGGCGGGGCCGGGAAGCAGCGGGCGGGCGCUGGCUGCACGGGGUGUGGGCGAGGCACAGUCGUGACCCUGGGCCAGCAUGCGGUAGGAGCCGCGGUACGAGGCAAGUGGCGCGGGCGGAGCACGGCCACGGUGGCCUUGGGCGCAGGAAGGUGGUGUGGAGCGGCGAGCACGACGAGUGUGGCACAGCCGGGUGGCCGCGGACGCGCAGCGACGGGCGUGGCGAGAAAGGGCGAUGGUGGCGGACGGGUGUGGUGCGAGGAACGAGAUAGAGACGGGGGAAAGCGGGGAUCGAGGGCGCGCUCACCGGGCCCUAUAGGCGUGCAACAGCGUGCUCGGGGAGGGCUCGACGGUGGCAUGCGCCGGCGAUGCGGACGGCGUCCUCGGGCGCGAGUAGAUCCGUCGAGGGAGAAGGAAAGGGGAGCGCGAGAUGGCGGAGCUUUCAAGGGCGACGUCAGAGCCGGGAGGUGGUCCCGGGCGGCGGCGAGCGUUGGGCGUCGGGGUCGGCGGGAUCGGGGCCNNNNNNNNNNNNNNNNNNNNNNNNNNNNNNNNNNNNNNNNNNNNNNNNNNNNNNNNNNNNNNNNNNNNNNNNNNNNNNNNNNNNNNNNNNNNNNNNNNNNNNNNNNNNNNNNNNNNNNNNNNNNNNNNNNNNNNNNNNNNNNNNNNNNNNNNNNNNNNNNNNNNNNNNNNNNNNNNNNNNNNNNNNNNNNNNNNNNNNNNNNNNNNNNNNNNNNNNNNNNNNNNNNNNNNNNNNNNNNNNNNNNNNNNNNNNNNNNNNNNNNNNNNNNNNNNNNNNNNNNNNNNNNNNNNGGGGGGGGAAGUGGGGUGCGGUUAGGGUUUCGGUCGUGCUGACCGGGGGGUUGUAGGCUGGGGCGCUGGGUGGGCCGGCCCAUUCGGACGGCUGGGGCCAGCUGGGCCACUUGGCCCAGCGGAACAGGGGGGGUUCUGUUUUCCCCCCUCUUUUUUUUGUUUGUUUGUUUGUUUUGUUUUACUUUUUUUUAAUUUUAUUUCCUAAUUUGUUUUUAGUUUGGUAAAAUAUCCAAUUAGCACCUAACAUAGUAACAUUAAUUAUACCACUGCCACAACAACUUUGGCACCUAGCUAAAUAGCUUAGUAUUUUGUAAAAUAUAUUAGGAGUAUAACUAAUUGUUUUUGCUGUUGUUUUAAUCACCUUAGGGUAUUUAAUUAUUUUAUAAAGAUGUUGUUUCUCCACCAAUAAUAUCCAUGAUUUAUUUGUCACAUUAAGGACAUUUUAGUUUUGACUUUCGAUAACUUUAAUUGUUUGACUUGACUUUAAAUUUGAAAUUGAACGAGAUUUGAAUCAUCGCAAGAUUAACAACAGUAAUCGUGGUGACGUGGCAUCAUUAGCAGAGGUUUACUGUAGCGUAACUAUCCGGGCGUCACAAUUCUCCUCCACUACAAGAAAUCUUGUCCCGAGAUUUAAGAGGUGGAAUAAGGGGGAAAGGUUCGGUUACGAAAUCCUAACGAAUCUUCUUGGUCUUGGAUGCUCUUCACAAAGAGGUCGAUCCAUUAUGUUGAUGUCUUCAUUCCUCUGCUUCACGGCAUCAUGAUGAAGUCGUCAUCCUUUCUUCAGGAUCUCCAUCGUACUUACGAAUAGGUAAGGGGCAGCUCGGCUACGACAUAAUGCUUAUGAGGGAAACAAUCUGGGGUUAACCCAUGAAUGAGCAUAAGAUUAUCUCUCGAGUUGAACAUAUAAAAUACAUUGAGAGUAAGGUACGAAGGUACAAUAAGAGGUUCCAAGCGGAUAGGUGGUUGCUCGAAGUCCGAACCAGAGUGAGAAAGGGGUUCAGAGUAGCGACAGUAAAUAUUGCGUCUGAUACCAUAAUAGAGCACUAGGAAGGUGGCCCAUGAAUUAAAUACGAAGCCAAGCGUGGGGAAUAACCACUAGAAACAGGGUUGUAUAGGAGAGUCAGGUUUCGAUCCAGUGGACCUGUGGGUUAUGGGCCCACCAUGUGGGUUAGAAGUAGGAAGGGCGGAGACGUCUUGCAUGAUCAUGCAAGCAAGGCAUGUCAGGGGGGUAGCCUGUCGAUUAUGUCGGCGACAACGUCGAUACCAAGGGCGAGGGAUGAAGAGAACUAUUUUCCUGCUCGUUGAACGAGGCGGGCCAAGAGGCAAAGUUCUCAUCCAUCGGCGGUUACCGAAAUGCCAUCAACAAUAGAAACAGGGUCUCACUGUCAGAGUUGUACACUGAGGUGUUUACCUACGCAGUGAAUUAUUACUGCUUAGAUUAUAUAGAUCACAAGAAAGGUUAAAACAAACAACGGAAAGGAAAUAUGGUUAUCAAAUUACACAGAACAAAGACAAGGAAAAUGUGUUUAAUCACAUAUUUCAGGGGUAUAACCUUCCCAAGGACAAGCAGAGCAUGAUAUCCAUGACAGGAUAUAAUGUAGAAAACUCUCUUUAGGUAGGGGGAGAAAAAUUUCAUGACAUUACCCAUACCACGGUGUUUGGAUAAUUGAUAAAGAGAAUUUAGCAUUGUGCUUCGAAUGUUCUUGGUGAUGAAUGGAGUACCACAGACAUGCUUCAGGUAGCAAUGAUAUGGUGUUUCAAUCAAGGGCCAGACUUUGGAUAUAGGAAGGUUCCAUCAGGAACAUCUUAUUACAAUGUCCUUAUGGAAGAAUGGCUAACCUUACUGAAAGGAGGGAGUAUUAUAACAAUGGGUUCCCCAGCCAGGUGUGCUAGGCAUGACAUCAUCUUACCAUGUCCUGUAAAGACCAAUGUUAUAACUCUUGGAAAUAUGUCCCAAUCACCAUAUCUGACCGAGAUUUAGAUCCGAUUGGUGCCAGGAUGCCUCGGACUCAGGAUGCCUGAGAAGAAAGGUGCAACACAAAUUGUCGAGAUGACAUUGUAAGAUUCUCGGGAAUUAUAAUAUGGAAUCGAGUUCCGAAACAAGAGUUCGUCAUUAAACCAAGGAGAGGAAGAGGAGGUGGCUGAUGGACUCGGCGAAAAUUCAUCCAGAUUUGCAAAUAGGUGGAUUUCCACAAUUAUGGAGAUAACAUUUGUCAGAUGAAAUGAUAUAAGGGGAUAUGCUCAAGGAAAACAUACCCAAUUUAAACAUUGGUUGAAAGGUGCACCCGAAAUAUGGGUUGGGUUGCACGACCAAUGUCAGAAUGGUGAUUUAAUAAUCAAUAGUCUAAGAAUGAACAGGCGACCAUUAACUUCAAAGCAACAGGGUUGCUAGAAGUGCAGGAUCCAAACAGCACCGUUCACUUGUUGGUACCCCGGUUGGAAUCCACACGAGGACCAUGAAAGAAUGGUGAUGGUGAGAAGUAUCACUAUACCAAGAAUUCUUAAGAGGUGGUGAAAUUCCCACGACAUUCUUGACAUAAAAGGCGGUAAUUCUCCAAGGUAAAGAAGAACAAUGCUGGGUAGCAAGGAACUCAAGGUAUAACACAAAACACUAACAAGUUUGUGUUGAACGGAAGGCAAUAAAGUGGUCAAAGAUGACACAAUUCAUCGGGGCAAGGAUGGUAUUUCUCAUCAUGAACUCAAUUGAUAUCCUGGAAGAGCUCAUAAGGUUGAUGAUAAUCACGACACAUUUGUCGAUAGAUUUCAUGAAGAUGUAAUCAAUCAGCGACGACAUCAAGUCAAAGGAAUGAUGAAGCAAAAGGUUAUUGAAACCAUGGGUACGACACAAACUCGAAAUCAAGUUUGUUGGUCAAGGAGAAAUGGUAUGACAAGGAAGAUCGACGUAAGCUUAGCUCAUCGUCGAAACUGGUGCUCCCGGAAUAAGGACCAGGUAGCACAGUUAAAAUCUGCACGACAAGGAUAUAGCCAAACAGGCUAGGAAUGGCGUGAUCGGUUACAAACUCGUACUUAAAGAAGAUUAUCAAGUGUCGUUGAACCGUAAUGCAGACUCGGUUCAGUUAUCGAUGUCUUUGAGUGUUUAAUAACUCCGAGCCCUAAUCGGUGAGUAUGUAGUACUUGAUGAAGAACUCAUAAGAAAUUAUGCAGUUCCAAGAUAAUCUCAAGAUACCAGGUUGUAAUACUCGACGACAGAUCAAAGUAGAGGUUGGACUGGGGUAUUGCUCUAUAGAAGACAAGUGCUUAAACUUGCAUAGGGAAUGGUAUUUAAAGGAGAACAUGGUCGGAACCACGAUUGCAAAAGGCCAGAUCCCAGAUAUAAGAUGAACUUAUACCAAAGGAAUAAUUAAUUUAAGAGAAGCUUUAAUGAUAAGGUCUACAUCGUGCCCAUGGGCAUGAACACAAAGUUCAAGGUCAACUCCCACUUCUCCAAUGGAUAAUAUUUCAUUCACUUCUCACUUUCGAAGAAGUUGUAGUGUUGAAAUUUUAUCUGGCAAAAUACCAGAAGUGUAUGACUCGUGAAAACUUUCGAGUUCACACAUACUAAGGAAGGCAUAGGUUCAACCCAUCGGGGCAUCUUAGAAUCAUAUUCUAGAAUCUUUAGAAAUAAUUAACUCAAGCUCGAAGGCAGAGCAUGGUUGAGAAAGCAGAGGAUACAAUUUACCAAAGGCAUUAUGUAUCAGAGGAAAAGCUCACAAGGUUAUUGAAUAUGAAGGGCGUUGUCAGAUAAAAUCCAACAAAGGAUCUGGUGGUCCACAAGGGAUCUGACGUGAGCAUCGGUACUCAACUAGAGGAAGAAGAAUGCAAGGAGAUCAAAUUAUAGAAACAACUGGCUAACUCAAUUGUCAAAUGCAAAGGAAUUAUGAUUUCCAAAUCAAGGGAUCAUUAGCAAUGCUCUGAUUAGGGAUGGAUAAGUUGAAUAGCCUUAGGGUACAAUCAACGACAAUUGGAUUGGUCGAGAACCAAUUCGAGUUAAAAGAAUGGCAGCUCAGCCGGAAAGGUAAUUUAUAAGGAUCAAUGAUGAUUGCGGGUAUUCACAAACAUAUUGAGUCAACAGACUCAAAAUGAUAAUGACAAGGAAUGUCAAUAUGACUACGGGACUUAUGGGAUUAAUCAUAAUGCAAGCAAGCAAGAAUUUCAAGAGCCAAAGGCCCCAAAGGAUUUUCGGAAGAUCGAAUAUUAUUUUGAAGACUUUUGUGAAACACAUGAACAACUGGGGAUGAGCGGAUACUCGACAAGUGCGAGGAUUUAUUUGAAGGGUAUUCAUGUGGUAAAGAACUGCUAGGCAGUAGGCACAAAGUAUUCUCGGAACAAUAGAGAAAACUUCGGGGUAUCUUGUAAUAACAAGAUUAACUGGGAAUAAAAGUAAGAACGACAGGCGUAAGUAUUUAUCCAUAGGGAUGUUUCAGUGGUAGGGAAUUACAAAAGCGACAAGCACAAGGUCUCGAGAGAAUAUCAGAGAGUAUCUUCAAAUUCUUCUGGUUCAUGGAGCAAUCACCUGUAGUGAGGGGUUCUCCGAGAGGAAGUAGUAACGAGAUCCUAAAGUUAGAUUUUAGUAAAAAUCGUUUAACCUGGAUAGAAAAGAGUUCAGAGUCCCAGAGUAAAAGAUCCUAGUACCACCCGAUGGCGACGUUGGCCCGUAAGGCACACAGCCAAGUUAGUAUAAGUUUUUGUAAUGUCUAGACUCGACUUCGGCCAAGGAGUGUGGAAGGGGGAUUCCUACAGGCAGUUGGCUCUGAUACCAACUUGUGACGCCCCCGAUUUAAUCGUACACUAAUCAUGCACGCAAAUGUGUACGAUCAAGAUCAGGGACUCACGGGAGGAUAUCACAACACAACUCUAAAACAUAAGUAAGUCAUACAAGCAUCAUAAUACAAGCCAGGGGCCUCGAGGGCUCGAAUACAAGUGCUCGAUCAUAGACGAGUCAGCGGAAGCAACAAUAUCUGAGAACAGACAUAAGUAAACAAGUAGCCAUAGAUGACUAACACAAACUAGGACACAAAUCGAAAGAGGCGCAGGCCUCCUGCCUGGGAUCCUCCUAACUACUCCUGGUCGUCGUCAGCGGCCUGCACGUAGUAGUAGGCACCUCCAGUGUAGUAGGAAUCAUCGUCGACGAUGGCGUCUGGCUCCUGGACUCCAGCAUCUGGUUGCGACAUCCAGAAAGAAAGGAAAGGGGGGAAAAGGGGGGAGAAAGCAACCGUGAGUACUCAUCCAAACUACUCGCAAGCAAGGAGCUACACUACAUAUGCAUGGGUAUAUGUGUAAAGGGCCAUAUCGGUGGACUGAACUGCAGAAUGCCAGAAAAAAGGGGGAUAGCUAAUCCUGUCGAAGACUACGCUUCUGGCAGCCUCCGUCUUGCAGCAUGUAGAAGAGAGUAGAUUGAAGUCCUCCAAGUAGCAUCUCCAAGUAGCAUCUGCAGUCGCAUCUCCAGUCGCAUCGCAUAGCAUAAUCCUACCCAGCAAUCCUCUCCUCAUAUCCCUGAGGGAGAGCGACCACCGGUUGUAUCUGGCACUUGGAAGGGUGUGUUUUAUUAAGUAUCCGGUUCUAGUUGUCAUAAGGUCAAGGUACAACUCCAAGUCGUCCUGUUACCGAAGAUCACGGCUAUUCGAAUAGAUUAACUUCCCUGCAGGGGUGCACCAACUUACCCAACACGCUUGAUCCCAUUUGGCCGGACACACUUUCCUGGGUCAUGCCCGGCCGCGGAAGAUCAACACGUCGCAGCCCCACCUAGGCACAACAGAGAGGCCAGCACGCCGGUCUAAACCUAAGCGCACAGGGGUCUGGGCCCAUCGCCCAUAGCACACCUGCACGUUGCGUACGCGGCCGAAAGCAGAACUAGCCCCCUUAAUACAAGAGCAGGCUUACGUUCCAAUCCGGCGCGCACCACUCAGUCGCUGGCGUCACGAAGGCUUCGGCUGAUACCACGACGCCGGGAUACCCAUAACUACUCCCACGUAGAUGGUUAGUGCGUAUAGGCUCGUAGCCAACUCAGAUCAAAUACCAAGAUCUCGUUAAGCGUGUUAAGUACCCGCGAACGCCGAACAGGGCCAGGCCCACCUCUCUCCUAGGCGGUCUCAACCUGCCCUGUCGCUCCGCCACAAAGAUCCACUCGCGGGUGCUCCACCAGCCGACCCGACUUUAGUCUCCACAUGUAUCAUGUAUAAGGUAUAUAGUAUAUACCCGUGAUCACCUCCCGAGUGAUCACGGCCCGAUAGUAUAGCACGGCUGGCGGACAAGAAUGUAGGGCCACAGAUGAAUAUACUAGCAUCCUAUACUAAGCAUAUAGGAUUGCAGGUAAAGGUAACAACAGUAGUAUCAAGGACAGGCUAUGCAUCAGGAUAGGUAUAACAGAAAGCAGUAACAUGCUACACUACUCUAAUGCAAGUAGUAUAGAGUAGAAUAGGCGAUAUCUGGUGAUCAAGGGGGGGGCUUGCCUGGUUGCUCUGGCAAGAGAGAGGGGUCGUCAACACCGUAGUCGUACUGGGUAGCAGCAGCGUCGGUCUCGAUGUCUAGCGAGAGAAGAGGGGGAAGAAACAAUAAAUAUAAUGCAAACAAAUGCAUGACGAUGCAUGACAUGACGAAGCGUGAUGUUAGGUGUACCCUAACGCGGUACGAGGUGGUACCGGUGAAGGGGGAAUCAUCCGGGAAAGUAUUCCCGGUGUUUCGCAUUUUCGGACAGAGGAGCCGGAGGGGGAAAGUUGCGAGUUCGAGUUGCGUAUCCGGAUUCGUCUCGUCGUUCUGAGCAACUUUCAUGUUGAAAAUAAUUUAAUCCGAGUUACGGAUUAAAAGAUAUGAUUUUCUAAAGAUUUUAUUAAUUUCUAGAAUCUAAUUAAUUAUUUAAUUUAAUUCAAAAUUUGGUUUUAUAACAUCAGCAUGAUAUCAUGCUGAUGUCAGCAGUCAACAGAGUUGACUGGUCAACCUGACCAGUGGGUCCCACUGGUCAGUGACACAUUUUAAUUAGACAUAUUAAUUAACCUAAUUAGUAUUAAUUAGGGGGUGGGCCCCACUGUCAUUGACUGAUUAACUAAAACAGAUUAACUAGUUUAAUUGGUAAUUAGGUUAAUCUAAUCAGAAUUAGUUAAGUUAAUUAAUUUAAUUAAUUAAUUAACUGAUUAAUUAAUAUUUUAUUAUUUUCUUUUAAUCUUUCUUUUUGAAACGUUCUGGGGCUGGGCCCCGUUUGGCAGUGGCCCAGAGGGGCGAUGCGGUUUACAGGCGCUAGCGGGCGCCGGGUCUCGGGCGUCGCCCGAGCGAGGGGGGAAGUGAGGCAAGGCCAGUGGCAAACGCCGGCGAGGAGCGUGGCGCAGGGAGCGGCCGGACAGGGAGGGGUAAGGCGAAGGCCAUGGCAGAGCUGGGCGGUCGUGGCGAGGCACCGGCCGUGGCCGCGAGCGGUGAAGGCGCGGGUCGCGGCAGAGGCAAGGCCACGGCGGGGCCGGAAAGCAGCGGGCGGGCGCUGGCUGCAUGGGGUGUGGGCGAGGCACAGUCGUGACCCUGGGCCAGCAUGCGGUAGGAGCCGCGGUUCGGGGCAAGUGGCGCGGGCGGAGCACGGCCACGGUGGCCUUGGGCGCAGGAAGGUGGUGUGGAGCGGCGAGCACGACGAGUGUGGCACAGCCGGGUGGCCGCGGACGCGCAGCGACGGGCGUGGCGAGAAAGGGCGAUGGUGGCGGACGGGUGUGGUGCGAGGAACGAGAUAGAGACGGGGGAAAGCGGGGAUCGAGGGCGCGCUCACCGGGCCCUGUAGGCGUGCAACAGCGUGCUCGGGGAGGGCUCGACGGUGGCAUGCGCCGGCAAUGCGGACGGCGUCCUCGGGCGCGAGUAGAUCCGUCAAGGGAGAAGGAGAGGGGAGUGCGAGAUGGCGGAGCCGUCAAGGGCGACGUCAGAGCCGGCGAGGUGGUCCCGGGCGGCGGCGAGCGUUGGGCGUCGAGGUCGGCGGGAUCGGGGCCGAUCCCGAUCCAGAUUGGUGGGGGAGAAGGGAUCGUGGGGGGGGGGAAGUGGGGUGCGGUUAGGGUUUCGGUCGUGCUAACCGGGGUGUUGUAGGCUGGGGCGCUGGGUGGGCCGGCCCAUUCGGACGGCUGGGGCCAGCUGGGCCACUUGGCCCAGCGGAACAGGGGGGUUCUGUUUUCCCCCCCUCUUUUUUUUGUUUGUUUGUUUUGUUUUACUUUUUUUUUAAUUUUAUUUCCUAAUUUGUUUUUAGUUUGGUAAAAUAUCCAAUUAGCACCUAACAUAGUAACAUUAAUUAUACCACUGCCACAACAACUUUGGCACCUAGCUAAAUAGCUUAGUAUUUUGUAAAAUAUAUUAGGAGUAUAACUAAUUGUUUUUGCUGUUGUUUUAAUCACCUUAGGGUAUUUAAUUAUUUUAUAAAGAUGUUGUUUCUCCACCAAUAAUAUCCAUGAUUUAUUUGUCACAUUAAGAACAUUUUAGUUUUGACUUUCGAUAAGUUUAAUUGUUUGACUUGACUUUAAAUUUGAAAUUGAACGAGAUUUGAAUCAUCGCAAGAUUAACAACAGUAAUCGUGGUGAUGUGGCAUCAUUAGCAGAGGUUUACUGUAGCGUAACUAUCCAGGCGUCACAACAACAAUGCCAGAAAUUCUUCUGUUACUCUUGUAGGAGUUGUUGGAUUUCCCCGAAGAUGAAGGUUGAUGUAGCACAACAAAAGAAAUUAUUUCACUCAGUUAAGAACCAAAGGUUUAUCGAACUAGUAAGAGACACUACGCUAACAACGUAAACAAUAUCUGCACACAAACACAACAAUUGCUUGCACGCAACAAACGCAAGGGGGUCGUCACUCCCCUUGUUCUUGACAGUUACAAGAUUAAAAGCAGAUAUAGUGAUAGGCAAAUUAGCAAAAUUAGUAAAGAGCAAAUAGUAGGAGCUUUUGUACUAAUGGAGAAUAGACCCGAGGGCCAUAGGUUCACUAGUAGCAUCUCUCUUGAAAGCAUGUAGUGGCACGGUAGACAAAUUAUUGUUGGACAAUUGAUAGAAUAGCGCAAACUAUAACUAUGAUCAUUCAUGGCAUAAUCUCACAUAGGCAUUACAUCUUUGAUAAGUAGACAAUUAGUCCAACUACAUCUAAUACUAUUACUCCACUCCAAGACCGCUAUCCAGCAUGCAUCUCCAAGUAUUAUUUCAUAAUAAAUAAAGUAACACAAUAAGAAAGAUGACAUAAUGUAGACAUGAAGAGAUCAAUCAAUAUGACCAAACCCCGUCGUUUUACCCUUUGUGGGAACAAUACAAUACGUGCCUUCGCCUCUCCUGUCAUAGGGAAAGCUCGCCGCAAGAUUGAACCUACUACUAUGCACCACUCCCUCUCAAAACCUACUCAUCUAAUUGGUCAGAAAAGUCUCAUAGAUUGGAAAUCAUACGUAGCUACAAAAAUACACAAGAGAAAUACUUCAAGAGAAUCAAUAUGAAUUAAUGAACAAUAUGAUCAUAAGUCCACAGUUUAUCGGAUCCCAACAAACAUGUCACAACAAUUACAUUGAAUAGACCUCGGAAGAGAUCGUUGUAUUGAAGGGGAGAGAGAGAGAGAGAGAGGAGCCAUCUAGCUACUAGUAUGGACCUGUAGGUACUGAAAGAACUACUCACAGAUUAUCAUGGAGGCAACAAGGUUGAUGAAGCUGGCCUCCCCAAUGAUUCCCCCCUCUAGGAACAGGGAUUUAGAUGGGAUCACAUCGGAAUAGAGGCUUGCAGUGGCGAUAAAAUUAUUUCGGGUCUCGCUUCGAGGGUUUCUGAAUAUGUCAAAAUUUAUAGGCCAUGAAUUAGGGAAAAUGAGCUACAAGGGGCCCACAAGCCAGGGUGGCACGCACUACACCCCAGGGCACGCUCUCUGCCUUGUGGGGUCCUCGUGGGUCUUCUCGUCCUCCCCCAAAGUUUGUAGGGUCUCUUUUUGUCUAGAAAAAAUUAUCAAAAAGUUUCGUUGUGUUUGGACUUCUAUAAGUAUGGAUUUUUAAAGAAAACCGAAAAGAUGGAAAAACAGAAGCUAGCAUUGGGCACUAAAUUAUUAUGUUAGCCUAGAAAAAUAAUAUAUGAUGACAUAGAAAGCAUAAAAAAUGAUAAUAUAAUAGCAUAUAACAAUUAAAAAUUAUAUUUAUAUUUGACACGUAUCAGCAGCCCGCCUAUGCGUUUGGGGUGGAUAUGGGGGGUCCGGGUGUAGAUGCACCAACUAGUCAUGUAUGUGAGCCAUACCCUUCUAUGCCAGCUCAUUAAUAAAUUUAUGUUUAGAUUAUACAUAAUUAGCUUUCGAGUUAUGUUUGUGUGUGUGCGUGACACAAGUGCAUCAUGUUAUGUAAUCUAAAUUAUUGUGAUGGAGAUCGUGUCAUUGAGGAUAUUUCGGUAAGAAUGUUUCUCAUUACUGAUAGCAUCCAUUUUAUAAUAACAAUGCUCAUGAUAAGGAAAACAAGAUCAUCAUCAAUACAUGAGCAAGUCUUAGAGGCAUGACUAGGGAUCACAUUGGUGUUUAUAUUUCCACGCAUGUAUUUGGGUUUUUCUAUGAAUCUCAUAUCUGAGAACUAAUAUACUUAUAGAACAAAAAUAUAAACUUGAUAAUGAACAUGGAAAUAUAAUAAUAAAAAUAAUUGCCUCUAGGACAUAAUUCCGACAAUUACAGGUUUCCUUGUUUAUCAAAAUAUAUUAGGAAGUAAGUAGAAGCUUCCUUUUUAUAGCAUUUGAAUUAAAUAGAUUUAACCAAACGAAGAAGUGUGUAAAUAUUGUAUUCGUCCUUGAGAACACGUGAUAAUUUACUACCAACUAUAAGGUAUGUAUGGUAUAUAAUUAUGAGUCAUCAAUGAUUGCUUGACAUAUUGGGGGAUGUAAAGAACCCACUAAUUUUUUUCUAGCUAUAAGUACCACGAAAAAGAAACAUCUCAAACAACACAUGUACCAAAGAAACCACCAGCUAGCUUGCUUCAAAUCUUAAGUAAUGGCGCUAACAAAAGUUGCUCUCUUCCUUGCCCUCAACCUUGGUCGUUGUGCAUGGUAACCCUCCAAUGGUUCCUGCACCACCUUUGGUGCCUACCCCACCUGUUGCACCGGCACCAUCGAUUGGUGGUUCCUGCCCAAUCAACCCACUAAAGAUAACUGUCUGCAGCAAUGUGUUGUUGCUACUCAAGCUCCGGAUCAACAUGCCGGAGACCGAGCAAUGUUGCCCACUGCUUAGUGGGUUGGCUGAUCUAGAUGCCGUUGUUUGUGUUUGCACUGCCAUCAAGGCCAACCUCCUCGGCAUCAUCACCGUCGACAUUCCCGUCGACCUGGCCCUCCUACUCAACCAUUGUAACAAGACAUAUCCCUCUACUUUCACCUGCUCGCCAUGAGCCAUGAUCAACUAUACCUCUCCAAAACAUACUCAUAAUUGCCAUGCAUGUGAGGCAUACCCAUCUAUGCCAACUCAUUAAUAAAUUUAUGUUUAGAUUAUAUAUUUAGAUUUCAAGUUAUGUUUGUGUGUUUGACAUAAGUGUAUUAUGCAUGUUAUGUACUCAAAAUUAUUGAUAUGGAGCUUGUCUCAUUGAAGAUAUUCCCUACAACAUAUGAGAUCAUUAUAAAUAAUUCAAAGCGACAUCGCAGUUGGUUGUUUGAACCAUCUAUCUAUAUACGACAUAUUUAUGAAUUUUUACAACCGGUUCUAUAGUCUAUGGAAACAUCUAUGACAUUUGGAUCUUACUAUGAACCAUAUGUUGGCAGUUAUUUAUCAUCGAAGGUUUAAGAGAUUUCUUUGUUCUCGGCUAGAUGUGUUGAUUAUGUUCAUGUGGGGUC
rnacentral:lncRNA from 1 species